rnacentral:rRNA from 1 species
UACGUAGGGUGCUAGCGUUGCUCGGAAUUACUGGGCGUAAAGGGAGCGUAGGCGGACAUUUAAGUCAGAGGUGAAAUCCCGGGGCUCAACCUCGGAAUUGCCUUUGAUACUGGGUGUCUUGAGUAUGAGAGAGGUAUGUGGAACUCCGAGUGUAGAGGUGAUAUUCGUAGAUAUUCGGAAGAACACCAGUGGCGAAGGCGACAUACUGGCUCAUUACUGACGCUGAGGCUCGAAAGCGUGGGGAGCAAACAGG